rnacentral:rRNA from 1 species
GACGAACGCUGGCGGCGUGCUUAACACAUGCAAGUCGAACGGAGUGGCGAACGGGUGAGUAACACGUUGGUGACCUGCCCUGCACUUUGGGAUAAGCCUGGGGAACUGGGUUGAAUACCGGAGAGUGUGGGACGGGCCCGCGGCGUAUGAGCUUGUGGGUGGGGGAAUGGCCUACCAAGGCGGCGACGGGUAGCCGGCCUGAGGGGGUGGACGGCGACAUUGCGCCUGCGACACGGCCCAGAAUGGUACGGGAGGCAGCGGAGGGGAAUAUUGACCAAUGAGCUGAAGCCUGAUGCAGCGGCGCCGCGUGGGUGAGGACGGCCUUCGGGUUGGAAACUCCUUUCACCAUCAACGCGGUAGAUGGCGAAGAAGCACCGGCUAACUACGUGCCAGCAGCCGCGGUAAUUC